UGGAUGGGGCUUUCCUUGGCACUGCCUAAUGUGCAUUCAGGCAUCCAGGAAAAAUAAAACACGUGGCUCUGGCAGCCCACAAGUGAUGCUACUAAUGAUGGAAGAGAACAACCUUUCCAAGGUCAAGUUACCAAGCAUCUGAACCCUGGAAAGCAUUUGUCAUGGCCUGGGAAUUGAUCUGAAACCUGAGCCAUCUUGGAGAAUAAAUCACCACAGAAAGCAUGCAUUAGAAUAUUCCCUAUGGAGCUGAUUUCCUGGAAGCAGACCGAGGUGUAGUAUUGGUAAUGGGACUAGCAGGCUGGAAGGAGGCUUGUGCCUGAAAAAACAGCACCAGAAAGAGCAAUGAAAACAUCAGUGCUUACAGAGGGAGGGACCAAAGCUCCUUCUUUCAGCUCAGUGGAAAGCUGGAGUGAUCUUCAGAGCCCUUGUGAGAGCAGUCAAGUCCUUUGCCCAGCACACUCUCCGUGCCAAGGUAGGUCCAAAUCCACAGCAGUUGUCAGGAGUGGGUGCUCACUGUCUGACCAAUAACCAGAGCAAUGGGACAGCUCCUAGCAAUGCAUUAUUAACAGCACCAGAAAGAGCAAUGAAAACAUCAGUGCUUACAGAGGGAGGGACCAAAGCUCCUUCUUUCAGCUCAGUGGAAAGCUGGAGUGCUCUUCAGGUGAGUGAUUAUAAAUGGUAAGCACGUGGAGCUCAUUUUGAAAGUUUUAGUGCUAGUGCUUGACAUUGCAUAGCCUGUAAUAAACAAGAGAUGAUCUCUAAGUUUUAUUACAACAGGGCAGCUUUAAAAUCUUCAAAUCAUACAGAGCUUUAUCCCAGUUUCUCCCUUUUUCAGUAGCUGUUAGGGCUCAGCCAUUCUUCUUUUCCUUGCUCUUGCCUGCUCAGACCAGCAAAGAUCUUGUCUGAUCUUUGGAUGAAGCAUCAAACAGGCCAAAAUCCACUGGGCUUUGAAACAAGAGGAGCACCAAAAGAGGAAGAUUCCAGCCAGGCCUUUGUCUGUUGGCUGAUUGGUCUGGUUUUGGAGUUGACAUUUGCAAGCAUAAAAGCAUCAGGGAAAGUAGCAAUGGCAUUUUGAGGACUGUGCUGCAAAAAGGGCCAACUAGAAUCUCUCCUAUUUCCACCUGUUCUUCCCCUCUGCCUUCUUCUCAGUUCCAGCCUCUGUCAUCGCUGCAGCAAUCACUGCAGGA